AGAGUUUGAUCCUGGCUCAGGACGAACGCUGGCGGCGCGCCUAACACAUGCAAGUCGAACGAGAGAGAGGGAGCUUGCUUCCUCAAUCGAGUGGCGAACGGGUGAGUAACGCGUGAGGAACCUGCCUCAAAGAGGGGGACAACAGUUGGAAACGACUGCUAAUACCGCAUAAGCCCACAGGUCGGCAUCAACCAGAGGGAAAAGGAGCAAUCCGCUUUGAGAUGGCCUCGCGUCCAAUUAGCUAGUUGGUGAGGUAAUGGCCCACCAAGGCGACGAUCGGUAGCCGGACUGAGAGGUUGAACGGCCACAUUGGGACUGAGACACGGCCCAGACUCCUACGGGAGGCAGCAGUGGGGAAUAUUGCACAAUGGGGGAAACCCUGAUGCAGCGACGCCGCGUGGAGGAAGAAGGUCUUCGGAUUGUAAACUCUUGUUCUUCAGGAAGAUAAUGACGGUACUCAACAAGGAAGUGACGGCUAACUACGUGCCAGCAGCCGCGGUAAAACGUAGGUCACAAGCGUUGUCCGGAAUUACUGGGUGUAAAGGGAGCGCAGGCGGGAGUACAAGUUGGAAGUGAAAUCCAUGGGCUCAACCCAUGAACUGCUUUCAAAACUGUCUUUCUUGAGUAGUGCAGAGGUAGGCGGAAUUCCCGGUGUAGCGGUGGAAUGCGUAGAUAUCGGGAGGAACACCAGUGGCGAAGGCGGCCUACUGGGCACCAACUGACGCUGAGGCUCGAAAGUGUGGGUAGCAAACAGGAUUAGAUACCCUGGUAGUCCACACCGUAAA
rnacentral:rRNA from 1 species